UUGUUAGCAUCGCAACGGUUGUCCCUCUCCUUGUAGGGGUAGUCCUCCUCAGAGUCAAUACCACCAUUGUUAAUGAUGAACUCAAAUGCAUAGUCCAUCAGACCUCCAUUGCAUCCCUGGUUGUAUGAAGUGUCACAGUCAACAAGCUCUUGCUCGGACAGAGGGAUCAUGUCGCCUGUGACAAUCUGGUUGAUGCCUUCGACAGCUGCUAUUGCUGAGAAAGCCCAGCAGCUCCCUGUAAAAGACAAACAAAUGUCAGAUUCCAGUAUCUUUGUGUAACGAUUUUAGUUGUAGAUCAAUGCACUGAUACAAGUGGCAAGUAGUAACAGAGCAACAAUACAUAGUGGUACAAAUUUCUUGAAAUUGCAGAUGAAGACAUGCUACCAAUCAGACGGCGAAACGUUCAAAGAGUCGUGAGGGAGAUGUGUACCCAAGGGCAUAAUGGACUUAUGUCAAAUAAUAGCAGAGGUGGAUGGUGAGACCACAUCCAACAAAUAACAGGACAAAUGGGUCCGCCAGCUUAUCAACUAGACAACGACCGCCACUACUUUGUAAUUUUCCUCCAUUGCAUACUCCAACAGCCUAAUGGAAUCAUGUGAAAUAAUAUCAGUACUAACUUAAUGUCCAUGUUCAAUGAACCUACUUCCAAAAUACGGAGUACUACGUAUAUCCAAACUCAUGAAGAUGAUGCUAACAGAGCUGUACUGACCUUCCAUAUUAGUAAAUCAUUCAGUACUACCACUGAAUCUAGCAAGUGAUACCAGAAGCUCUGACAGAAGCACAUACCGAAAAUAAGGUGUCCCAAUUGCUGAAACCUGAAUGACACUAUAACAUACUGCUACUAGAGACCAAUUAACACAUCCUACCAAAAUAAAUUUAAAUUUAAGAAAUUUUUAUUUUACUUCUGUGUGAAAUUAUACGCCGGCCUAAGAAUCGCAGAUCCCCUUUUCACUGUUCAAAUCGUUUAGGUGAAGCCUCUCAACAGCACCAAUUAUUGCACGUUCCCCUGCUUUCUGUUCAUGUGUAUACUAAACCAUGGCACGUUGACUAACAAAGUUCCCAAUUUACGCAACAGAUUGGAAUAUACUAGUCGCAAGAAUCUUCACUUAAAACCGUUAGUAUCCACCGAUAAUACUGCAAAAAGGAAACAAAAUAGAAGCAGCAGCAGCAGCAGAUGAGUCGAGGAUGCUUUGCUUACCACAGCCGCCCUGGUCCUUGACGGCACCAACUGCGCCCUUCUUCCUCCAGUCGACGGACUCGGGCAGCUCGUCGUUGUCGGCGGCCUGGUACCUGGCGCUGAGCUUCCGCUCCCGGUCGGGCUUAGUGCGGGCGCCGAGGUAGGUGCUGCGGUACUCCUCGUUGGUGAGGUCGGCGAAGCGGUUGAGGCCGAGGCGGAAGGAGUGGACCCCGGCGUCGGCGGCGGCGUUGUGCUGGUCGAUGUAGCGGAGGUUGUCCCGGAACGCCUCGAAGCGGCGCUCCUCCUCGCCGAUGGCGUUGUACGUACUGCCGUGCUCCGCCAUCCACUCGGCGUACAUCCGCCGGACCUCCUCCUCGCUCCGCUCCCCGUAGGACACGAUCGACAUGUCCGCCGCCGCCGCCAGCGACACCAUCAGCAGCAGCGCCGCCGAGGCCGCCAGCAGAGCCAUGGAGGUCCUCAUCCCCGAGACCAGAGGUGCGUCACCGAGCAGGAAGAGAGGGGUAGCAGAUGGGAUGGAUUGGGUAGCAGCCGUGCUUUUCUUCUCCAUGGACGAUGGUAUCGGAGGUCGCUUUAUAGGAA
rnacentral:lncRNA from 1 species